rnacentral:rRNA from 1 species
CCUACGGGAGGCAGCAGUAGGGAAUUUUCGUCAAUGGGCGCAAGCCUGAACGAGCAAUGCCGCGUGAACGAGGAAGGUCUUCGGAUCGUAAAGUUCUGUUGAAGGGGAAAAAGAGCGGAGAGAGGAAAUGCUUUCUGAUUGAUAUUACCCUUCGAGGAAGUCACGGCUAACUACGUGCCAGCAGCCGCGGUAAUACGUAGGUGGCGAGCGUUAUCCGGAUUUAUUGGGUUUAAAGGGUGCGUAGGCGGGAUGCCAAGUCAGCGGUAAAAAGGCGGGGCUCAACGCCGUCGAGGCGUUGAAACUGGGGUUCUUGAGUGGGCGAGAAGUAUGCGGAAUGCGUGGUGUAGCGGUGAAAUGCAUAGAUAUCACGCAGAACUCCGAUUGCGAAGGCAGCAUACCGGCGCCCUACUGACGCUGAGGCACGAAAGCGUGGGUAUCGAACAGGAUUAGAUACCCUAGUAGUUC